AACCUUAAUAAGUCCUCUACACACAAAAGUUUGGUCCUAACUUUAAAAUCAACUUUUUCUUAAUUUACACAUGCAAGCCUCCACACCCCUGUGAGUAAAACCCAUGAACCCCCUCGGAUUAAGGAGACGGUAUUAGGCGCAACAACCCGCCCAAUAUGCCUAGUAAAACCACACCCACAAGGGCCCCAGCAGUGAUUAACAUUAUUCAUGAGUGCCAACUCGAUCUAGUUAAAGAAAACAGGGCCGGCCAAUCUGGUGCCAGCCGCCGCGGUCAUACCAUAAGCCCAAAUUGAUUUUCUACGGCGUAAAGCGUGGUUAAAGCUACCCAUCACCUGGAGCUCAACUGAUACUAGGCGGUGAAAUGCCUGUUUUCAAGAAAACCAUAAACGAAAGUUGCUCCAUUUAAACACUUGAUCCCACGAUAGCCAGGGCACAAACUAGGAUCAGAUACCCUACUAUGCCUGGCCCUAAAACUUAAAAUUACUUCUUAUUAA
rnacentral:rRNA from 1 species